GGCUUUCUGGCCGAGCGGUCUAAGGCGCUGUGUUCAGGUUGAAUCUUCAACUCAUUACAAAUUCGCAGUCUCGUAAGAGGCUUGGGUUCGAAUCCCAAGGAAGUCA